rnacentral:rRNA from 1 species
GUUCGUAGUUGACCUGCGGAAGGAUCAUUA